rnacentral:rRNA from 1 species
ACAGGUGCGAUGAAGGGCGGACGGUGGAUGCCUAGGCGCCUUGCUGCCGAGGAAGGACGCAGCCACGCGGCGAAACGCUCUGGGGAGGGGCUGGCACCCGGUGAUCCAGAGGUCUCCGAAUGGGGCAACCCGGCGGCCGUGAUGGGCCGUCACCCUGCUUUUGCAGGGAGGGAACCGGGGGAACUGAAACAUCUCAGUACCUCGAGGAAAAGAGAGGAUUCCCGGAGUAGCGGCGAGCGAAACGGGAGGAGCCCAAACCAGGAAGGCGUACGAGCCAGUCGGCGCUGCUUUCCUGGGGUAGAACGCGAUUGUGGGAGGGAGCGACUGAUCCCUCGCCGUGAGCUUGCUGGUCAACCGAAGUGCCCUGGAACGGCGCACCGGAGGGGGUGAGAGUCCCGUAGGUGACGGUCAGCGAGGAACGGUGCAUGAUGAGCGUGAGUACUGCCGGACACGAGACAUCUGGUGGGAAACAGGGCCGACCACGGCCCAAGGCUAAAUACAGCAGGC